CCAGGGUAAGACGGGUCGGGUCUUCGGGUCGCGCCUAAAUGGCGCCGUUUCUGGGUUUUAAAAUGGCCGGGCAAAACGGUGCGUUUUGCCGGCCUAUAUAAGACAUUUAUUUUUUUUAUUUUUUCAUUUCUCCUCUCUUCACCUUAAAAAAAACCCAAAUCCUCUCUCCCUCUCUCAGUCUGUCGGCCCAGAAGCCGACGAGGUGCAGGCCGAGCGCCGCCGUGGCCCCGUCGCUUCGGCCACCGUACACGGUGGCCAGAAAUCGCCUCAGGUAUAAAUUUUUUAAUUUUUUUUCUUGUUUUAUAUAUUUAUUUAAUGAUGCAUAUUGUUUUAAUAAACAUAAAUAAUAUGUGCUAAUAAUAUUCAAAGAAAUAGUAAAAGAAAGGGCAAAAAAAAAGUAGAUAGACCUUUAGAUCGGUCUUCAAAAUUCUGUGCUGCAAGUUCGUGUUUGUGUUACAAAGCCUUUUUGAUUGUUAAUCUCCUUGAUAUAUUUCGAAUAGAAUGAAAAUUAAGAGCCUAAAAAUCCAACCCUUACACCCGAUCCCCAUUGUGGCUUUUAUAGCCUAUUUUUUCAGAUCUUCUUCUCUGCGCAUUGCUCUUUCCCUUUUAAUGCUGCAGGUACAAGUGGGCGGUGGCACAGUGGCGGUGCUUGCAGGAGAUGUGACUGGGGCGGUGGGAUGGGACCGAUGGCAGAAGCAGCAGCAGUUUGGGGGGCUAGGGUUUAUUAUUUUUUGUGUUAAGGUUUUUUUGGGCUGUAAUUGUUUUGGGUUGGGCUAGGUUAUUUGUUUAGUUUGGGUUUGGGGAUUUUGGGCCCAAAAUUGAGCUUGUACACAUACCAAAUUGAAUAACUUGGAGACGGGAUGAAAAUUACAUUUUAUAUAUGAAAUAACUAACUUCUUUAUUUUUAUAGAAUAAAGGGUGAAAGUUAUAAAGAAAAACUUGAUCUUAACCUUUUUAAGGUUUAUAUUUUGUAAAAAUUGAAGUAUAUAUUUUAUAAUAUCAAUAUAUUUUUUAAGAGUAUUGAAUAAAUUCUUAGAAUUAUA
rnacentral:lncRNA from 1 species